AUCCCUGGGCCUGGGCCUACCUAGGUGAAGACAGGCAUUUUUGUUUUCCUGCCCGGAUGUUGCAUUUCCCAAGACCACCCUGGCCUGCCAUGCCCUCAUCCUGUGCCUUUAAAAACCCCCGAGACCCUGGCAGGCAGACGCACAAGCAGCUGGACAUUGAGAGGAGCAUAUAGGCAGAGAAUACAGGGGCUGCUGGAUGUCGAAAGGAACGCACCAGCAUAGGAGCACACCGGCAUGCUGGCAGGCCAUUGACCAGCGGAAGAAUGCAGAGUUUGUCGCGGGAGGUCAGAGAAGAGUCAGGCCGCCAUACCUGACUCCAGGAGAAAACCGUCUCCCUUCUGGUUCCCCCGUCUGCCGAGAGCUACUUCCACUCAAUAAAACUUUCCACUCAUUCUUCAAGCCCACGUGUGAUCCAAUUCUUCCCGUACACCAAGGUCUCGCUGUGUUUCCCAGGCUGGGUGCAGUGGCUAUUCAAAGGUACAAUGAUAGCUCACUGCAGCCUGGAACUCCUGGACUCAAGCGAUCCUCCUGCCUCAGCUGCGACUAACAGUGCUGGUAAUGAUGUAUACCUGGCAGCUGACCGUCAAAUCUUAUGAAGGAUUAAAACAUAAAGUUUGCAUUAAAGGUCAAAACAGUCACAAGCCUGCUCAAAUUCGGAAAGAGGGGACGGAAAUGGAACCUCUUCAUGGGAGGAAGAAACAGGGUCUUGCUCUGUUGCCCUGGCUGGAGUGCAAUGGUAUGAUCAUAGCUCACAGUAGCCUUGAACUCCUGGGCCCAAGCCAUCCUCCUACCUCAGCAACCAGAGUAGCUGGGAUUACAGGCGAAUGCCACCACACCUGGAAUUGGAAAAAUGAAUGUAAUUUGACAUAUGUCUUGAGUCUGGUUGGCUUCUGAGGAACUUGUGUGCAUCUCAUCAGUAUGCAUCUUAAGAACUGAAAUGACCCUACUUCAGCAUUGUGAAAUUACAUAAAGAUAAAAGGGGAUGCACUGAACCUGAUGGUACUUUCCUGUACAAUUGAGAAAAGGUGAAAUAAGCAGAAGACCAAGGGAUGCAUUGGGAGGAGGAGAACCAGGAGGAGGACCACGUAAUGGAAGCCAAGUGAAGACAGUGUUUCCCAGUGCUG
rnacentral:lncRNA from 1 species